CGCCCACGGGAGCUGUUCAGAUAGAGCAUAACAUAUAUACGUUUCCUUCGCACCUUUAAAUUAUCAGUUUGCUGCGCGUGUGCAGCCGCCUUCACUGCCGGACGACGCGUCCGAUGCAAAUGGCCGGCGCCGGAUGUGGACCUCCCAGCGCCGAGGCGAGGCGAAGCGACAAUACCAGCCUACCAUCAUAUCGACAUUCAACAAUAGAGUCUUGUUAGGUGUCACGUUGGUGGUCGAGUGGGAGUUAGAACAAAAAGAAGUCGGACUGACAAAGUAAGGGCGGAGGAACAAAUGGCGCCAUGUUAUAAUUAACUAGAUUAAAAGGCAAAAUCAAGUUAAGUAAACUUAGAUGAAAUCGAUGCGAUAUGUUUGAAGUAGCUCUUUAUAAAGUUUGUCAGUG